ACGAACGCUGGCGGCGUGCUUAACACAUGCAAGUCGAACGGGUCUGCCCUGUUUUUUGCGGGGUGGGUCAGUGGCGAACGGGUGAGUAACACGUGAGUAACCUGCCCCUCACUUCUGGAUAACCGCUUGAAAGGGUGGCUAAUACGGGGUGUUCUGGCUGUGCCGCAUGGUGUGGCUGGGAAAGAUUCACUUUUGUGGUGUUUUGGUGGGGGAUGGGCUCGCGGCCUAUCAGCUUGUUGGUGGGGUGAUGGCCUGCCAAGGCUUUGACGGGUAGCCGGCCUGAUAGGGUGGGCGGUCACACUGGGACUGAGAUACGGCCCAGACUCCUGCGGGAGGCAGCAGUGGGGGGUAUUGCACAAUGGGCGGAAGCCUGAUGCAGCGACGUCGCGUGAGGGAUGGAGGCCUUCGGGUUGUGAACCUCUUUCGCCGGUGAAGAAGGUCCUGCUCUUUGUGGUGGGGUUGACGGUAGCCGGGUUAUGAAGCGCCGGCUAACUACGUG
rnacentral:rRNA from 1 species